rnacentral:rRNA from 1 species
CCUACGGGAGGCAGCAGUGAGGAAUAUUGGUCAAUGGGAGAGAUCCUGAACCAGCCAAGCCGCGUGAGGGAAGACGGCCCUAUGGGUUGUAAACCUCUUUUGUCGGAGAACAAAACCCGGGACGUGUCCCGGACUGCGUGUAUCCGAUGAAAAAGCAUCGGCUAACUCCGUGCCAGCAGCCGCGGUAAUACGGAGGAUGCGAGCGUUAUCCGGAUUUAUUGGGUAUAAAGGGUGCGUAGGCGGUCCGUACGUCAGCGGGAAAAUUGCGGGGCUAAACCCCGCCGAGCCGUUGAAACUGGCAGACUUGAGUUGGCGAGAAGUACGCGGAAUGCGCGGUGUAGCGGUGAAAUGCAUAGAUAUCGCGAAGAACUCCGAUUGCGAAGGCAGCGUACCGGCGCCAGACUGACGCUGAGGCACGAAAGCGUGGGGAUCGAACAGGAUUAGAUACCCCAGUAGUC